AGAGCCUCCAGGAAGGAAUGCAGUCUGCUAACACCUUCCUGUUGUUCCAGGGAGACCCAUACAGACAUAUGGCCUGCAGAAUUGUCCUAAACUGACUCUGGGGACUAAAGAAAAAAAGUAUAACUUAUCAUGGAAGUUGCUUAAGUGCAAAAUUAAUUAGGUCAGGGGAGGAUUGGAUAUGGAGAUUAAACUGUCAUGCUUGGAUCUGGAUGAAGAAAAAGAGGGGACUGUGUUGUUAGGUGGAGGAUGGCCUGCAUUCCUGCCUUGUUCCAACGCUUGCUAGCAAGCUGACUUCGGGAAGAUUAGGUAACUCAUCUCAGUUUCCUCAUCUGUAAUGCAAAGACACAGCAUCAUCUCUACCCAUAAAAGGUGGCAUUCUGCAAGACUGAGAAGAUGCCCACCUCCAUUCCCAGAGUCCAGGCCUUCAUUAACUCACACGUGAACUACAGAAGCAUCAUCCCUAGUUCUCCUAUUAGUCACUCCUCCUCACCUGCCUCUAAUUCAUCCAUCCAUCCAGCGUGGGUCAUGUAAAGUUACAGCUGAGAAGGUACUCCCUCUCUUAAACUCAUCAGGGCUCCAUGUGGCUUCAAGAUUGAAAAUAAAAUUUCUGUGUAUGGUAUAUAAACUUAAGCUCUUAACAGUGUGCCCACUCCCUGUGCUCCAGUCAUGGAAAAUUAUUUGCAGUUCUUUGAGCAUGCUCCGGUCUCUCUUUCAUGUUUUAUAUAAGCUGUCCUCUUUUAUUGGAACAUACUUCCUUCCCAUCCUACCCCCAACACCCAACUUGUCUACCUGAGGAGCACUUAGUCAUUGUUAAAGACCCAGUCCAAGAUUUUCCUCCUUGGAAACACUUCCCUGACCUACUUUGUCUGGGGUUUGUGCCC
rnacentral:sRNA from 1 species